UUUUUACUUUCCUGUAUCUCUACCCACCGAGCCCUGCAGAGUUCGUGGAGUUCCCUGGCUGCCAUGAAAUCAGCAGUGCCGAGGAGUGGGACCAGUCACAGUGGAAGCCACAAGGGAGAUUUGUUUAGAUCAGAUGGGAAAUCACUGGACACCCUCAGGACUGGUCAGCAGGAUCUUUGCUGCAGCUAAGGAAUGGAGUUUCCCUGUAAAUUGUUUGGCCAAAGUGUGUGGGGCAGGUUUGUCUCAGUGCCUUACCCAUCCUU